rnacentral:rRNA from 1 species
UGACAGUACUACCUACGGGGAGGCAGCAGUCGGGGAAUAUUGCACAAUGGGGGAAACCCUGAUGCAGCCAUGCCGCGUGUGUGAAGAAGGCCUUCGGGUUGUAAAGCACUUUCAGUAGGGAGGAAGGGUAGUGUAGUUAACACCUGCACAUUUGACGUUACCUACAGAAGAAGCACCGGCUAACUCCGUGCCAGCAGCCGCGGUAAUACGGAGGGUGCGAGCGUUAAUCGGAAUUACUGGGCGUAAAGCGCAUGCAGGCGGCCUGUUAAGUCAGAUGUGAAAGCCCGGGGCUUAACCUCGGAAUUGCAUUUGAAACUGGCAGGCUAGAGUCUUGUAGAGGGGGGUAGGAAUUUCAGGUGUAGCGGUGAAAUAGCGUAGAGAUCUGAAGGAAUACCAGUGGCGAAGGCGGCCCCCUGGACAAAGACUGACGCUCAGAUGCGAAAGCGUGGGGAGCAAACAGGAUUAGAUACCCCUGGUAG